UGAGCCAUGGAGACUGAAGCUUCUCUUUAUCCAGACAGCAGAUACAGCAUAGGUACCAGCAGUGAAAGACUUCCCACAAUGCCUUCCCAAUGUGCCUCAGCAUUGUUGCCUCUUCAUUAAGUAUUGCUUCUCCCUUCUGCCCAGCAAUAGCCAAU
ensembl:misc_RNA